rnacentral:rRNA from 1 species
UUUGUGGAGAGUAUGAUACCGGCUCAGGACGAACGCUGGCGGCGUGGAUUAGGCAUGCAAGCCGAACGAGAAGCCGAGCUUCGGCUCGGUGGAAAGUGGCGAAAGGGUGAGUAACGCGUGGGUAAUUUACCUCUGAGAUGGGGAUAACAACUCGAAAGGGUUGCUAAUACCAAAUACGAUCCGGUUAACUUCGGUUGGCCGAAUGAAAGGUGGCUUCGGCUGCCGCUCGGAGAUAAGCCCGCGUCCUAUUAGUUAGUUGGUGAGGUAAUGGCUCACCAAGGCGACGAUGGGUAGCUGGUCUGAGAGGAUGGUCAGCCACAUUGGGACUGAGACACUGCCCAAACUCCUACGGGAGGCUGCAGUCGAGAAUAUUUCGCAAUGGGGGGAACCCUGACGAUGCGACGCCGCGUGGGGGAUGAAGGCCUUCGGGUUGUAAACCUCUGUGUUACGGGAUGAAUUGGAUGUUGCCGAUAAAGCAAUGUUUUUGACGUUACCGUAGUAGAAAGCCCCAGCUAACUACGUGCCAGCAGCUGCGGUAAUACGUAGGGGGCAAGCGUUGUCCGGAAUCACUGGGCGUAAAGCGCGCGUAGGCGGUGGAGUAAGUCAGACGUGAAAGGGUUCGGCUCAACCGAGCCAUUGCGUUUGAUACUACCUCACUUGAGUCUAGAAGAGGAAAGUGGAAUGUAUGGUGUAGCGGUGGAAUGCUUAGAUAUCAUAUAGAACACCCGUGGCGAAGGCGGCUUUCUGGUCUAAGACUGACGCUCAUGCGCGAAAGUUUGGGGAGCAACCGGGAUUAGAUACCCCGCUAGUCCUUACUGUAAACGAUGGGUACUA